CACACACACACAUCAUCCAGCACUCACACACACAUCAUCCAGCACACACACACACAUCAUCCAGCACUCACACACACAUCAUCCAGCACACACACACACACAUCAUCCAGCACUCACACACAUCAUCCAGCACACACACAUCAUCCAGCACUCACACACACAUCAUCCAGCACACACACACACAUCAUCCAGCACUCACACACACGUCAUCCAGCGCGCACACACACGUCAUCCAGCACUCACACACACAUCAUCCAGCACAUGCACA